rnacentral:rRNA from 1 species
AGCCACCAGUAGGAAUUCUUCCCCAAUGGACCCAACUCUAUCGAACAAUCCCCGCUUGAGUGAGAAAGCUUUUGGGUUGUUAAACCUUUGUUUCCGGAGAGGAACACCAUGGCGAGUAACUGCUCUUUGAGUGCCGUUACAGAAGAAGAAACCCCCGCCAAAUUCCGUCCCACCACCCCGGUUAAUCGUUGGGGGCCAACCUUUGUCGGAAUUUAUGGGGGGUAAACCGCCCCCGGCGGUUUUUUUAAGUCUGGUUUUUAACCCCGGGCUUCACCCCCGGUUCGCAUCGGAAACUGGAUGACUUGAGUGUAGGAGAGGAAAGUGGAAUUCCACGUGUAGCGGUGAAAUGCGUAGAGAUGUGGAGGAACACCAGUGGCGAAGGCGACUUUCUGGCCUAUAACUGACGCUGAGGCGCGAAAGCGUGGGGAGCAAACAGGAUUAGAUACCCUGGUAGUCCACGCCGUAAACGAUGCAUACUAGGUGUCGGGGAUUCGAUUCUUCGGUGCACGAAGUUAACACAGUAAGUAUGCCGCCUGGG